AGGGGUAUCCCAUAUUUUUUUGGCAUGUUUUGGGAUAUGAAAUUGUGAAAGGAGGCAACAUCUUGUAAGAGUCCAUGAUCUCUUAGACUCUUCACCCAACCUCCUUACAUGCCUAUAAAAGGGGCUUUUAUAGUUUUUUUUGUGUGUGUAAGAUAGUAGAGGAGUUCUCUUUGUGAGGAAGUUUUGGGGCAUAGUUCCAUGGCAUGAGAAAGAGGAGGAGAGUCCUCUCUCUUUGGGUUAGUGCAAAAGCUGAUUUCUCUGAUUUCUACCUUAGGUUUGGGAAU
rnacentral:lncRNA from 1 species